rnacentral:rRNA from 2 species
GGUUAAGCGACUAAGCGUACACGGUGGAUGCCCUGGCAGUCAGAGGCGAUGAAGGGCGUGCUAAUCUGCGAUAAGCGCCGGUAAGGUGAUAUGAACCGUUAUAACCGGCGAUACCCGAAUGGGGAAACCCAGUGUGAUUCGUCACACUAUCAUUAACUGAAUCCAUAGGUUAAUGAGGCGAACCGGGGGAACUGAAACAUCUAAGUACCCCGAGGAAAAGAAAUCAACCGAGAUUCCCCCAGUAGCGGCGAGCGAACGGGGAGGAGCCCAGAGCCUGAAUCAGCAUGUGUGUUAGUGGAAGCGUCUGGAAAGGCGCGCGAUACAGGGUGACAGCCCCGUACACAAAAGCGCAUGUGCUGUGAGCUCGAUGAGUAGGGCGGGACACGUGGUAUCCUGUCUGAAUAUGGGGGGACCAUCCUCCAAGGCUAAAUACUCCUGACUGACCGAUAGUGAACCAGUACCGUGAGGGAAAGGCGAAAAGAACCCCGGCGAGGGGAGUGAAAAAGAACCUGAAACCGUGUACGUACAAGCAGUGGGAGCCCCACCACCAAAGCAUUUGCUGUACCGCGUUGACGGAGCGAAGCGACGUCAAACCGAUAAAACAGCAGUGUAAAGUGAGCCGCAGGGCGCUUUGCGCGACAGCGCAAAGGCAGGCGGUUUCGCGUAGCGAAAGCGAAUGCUUUGGGGUGGGGUGACUGCGUACCUUUUGUAUAAUGGGUCAGCGACUUAUAUUCUGUAGCAAGGUUAACCGAAUAGGGGAGCCGGAGGGAAACCGAGUCUUAAUUGGGCGUUAAGUUGCAGGGUAUAGACCCGAAACCCGGUGAUCUAGCCAUGGGCAGGUUGAAGGUUGGGUAACACUAACUGGAGGACCGAACCGACUAAUGUUGAAAAAUUAGCGGAUGACCUGUGGCUGGGGGUGAAAGGCCAAUCAAACCGGGAGAUAGCUGGUUCUCCCCGAAAGCUAUUUAGGUAGCGCCUCGUGAAUUCAUCUCCGGGGGUAGAGCACUGUUUCGGCUAGGGGGCCAUCCCGGCUUACCAACCCGAUGCAAACUGCGAAUACCGGAGAAUGUUAUCACGGGAGACACACGGCGGGUGCUAACGUCCGUCGUGAAGAGGGAAACAACCCAGACCGCCAGCUAAGGUCCCAAAGUCAUGGUUAAGUGGGAAACGAUGUGGGAAGGCCCAGACAGCCAGGAUGUUGGCUUAGAAGCAGCCAUCAUUUAAAGAAAGCGUAAUAGCUCACUGGUCGAGUCGGCCUGCGCGGAAGAUGUAACGGGGCUAAACCAUGCACCGAAGCUGCGGCAGCGACACUGUGUGUUGUUGGGUAGGGGAGCGUUCUGUAAGCCUGCGAAGGUGGCCUGUGAGGGUUGCUGGAGGUAUCAGAAGUGCGAAUGCUGACAUAAGUAACGAUAAAGCGGGUGAAAAGCCCGCUCGCCGGAAGACCAAGGGUUCCUGUCCAACGUUAAUCGGGGCAGGGUGAGUCGACCCCUAAGGCGAGGCCGAAAGGCGUAGUCGAUGGGAAACGGGUUAAUAUUCCCGUACUUGGUGUUACUGCGAAGGGGGGACGGAGAAGGCUAUGUUGGCCGGGCGACGGUUGUCCCGGUUUAAGCGUGUAGGUGUGUGUUCCAGGUAAAUCCGGUUCACUUUAACACUGAGGCGUGACGACGAGGCACUACGGUGCUGAAGCAACAAAUGCCCUGCUUCCAGGAAAAGCCUCUAAGCAUCAGGUAACAUCAAAUCGUACCCCAAACCGACACAGGUGGUCAGGUAGAGAAUACCAAGGCGCUUGAGAGAACUCGGGUGAAGGAACUAGGCAAAAUGGUGCCGUAACUUCGGGAGAAGGCACGCUGACACGUAGGUGAAGUGAUUUACUCAUGGAGCUGAAGUCAGUCGAAGAUACCAGCUGGCUGCAACUGUUUAUUAAAAACACAGCACUGUGCAAACACGAAAGUGGACGUAUACGGUGUGACGCCUGCCCGGUGCCGGAAGGUUAAUUGAUGGGGUCAGCGCAAGCGAAGCUCCUGAUCGAAGCCCCGGUAAACGGCGGCCGUAACUAUAACGGUCCUAAGGUAGCGAAAUUCCUUGUCGGGUAAGUUCCGACCUGCACGAAUGGCGUAAUGAUGGCCAGGCUGUCUCCACCCGAGACUCAGUGAAAUUGAACUCGCUGUGAAGAUGCAGUGUACCCGCGGCAAGACGGAAAGACCCCGUGAACCUUUACUAUAGCUUGACACUGAACAUUGAGCCUUGAUGUGUAGGAUAGGUGGGAGGCUUUGAAGUGUGGACGCCAGUCUGCAUGGAGCCGACCUUGAAAUACCACCCUUUAAUGUUUGAUGUUCUAACGUGGACCCGUUACCCGGGUUGCGGACAGUGUCUGGUGGGUAGUUUGACUGGGGCGGUCUCCUCCUAAAGAGUAACGGAGGAGCACGAAGGUUGGCUAAUCCUGGUCGGACAUCAGGAGGUUAGUGCAAUGGCAUAAGCCAGCUUGACUGCGAGCGUGACGGCGCGAGCAGGUGCGAAAGCAGGUCAUAGUGAUCCGGUGGUUCUGAAUGGAAGGGCCAUCGCUCAACGGAUAAAAGGUACUCCGGGGAUAACAGGCUGAUACCGCCCAAGAGUUCAUAUCGACGGCGGUGUUUGGCACCUCGAUGUCGGCUCAUCACAUCCUGGGGCUGAAGUAGGUCCCAAGGGUAUGGCUGUUCGCCAUUUAAAGUGGUACGCGAGCUGGGUUUAGAACGUCGUGAGACAGUUCGGUCCCUAUCUGCCGUGGGCGCUGGAGAACUGAGGGGGGCUGCUCCUAGUACGAGAGGACCGGAGUGGACGCAUCACUGGUGUUCGGGUUGUCAUGCCAAUGGCACUGCCCGGUAGCUAAAUGCGGAAGAGAUAAGUGCUGAAAGCAUCUAAGCACGAAACUUGCCCCGAGAUGAGUUCUCCCUGAGACUUAGAGUCUCCUGAAGGAACGUUGAAGACGACGACGUUGAUAGGCCGGGUGUGUAAGCGCAGCGAUGCGUUGAGCUAACCGGUACUAAUGAACCGUGAGGCUUAACCUU